ensembl:lncRNA
AAUCAAUUCAGAGCUGGGAAAGGUCUCUGAACAGGUGUAAAGAGGUCUUCUUGGAAGAGGCAGUCGUGGAGACAGGGUGCCACUUCUGACCACGCUCUUUCUGCAGCUUCCAUCUCAGCAGGACACCCACAAAGCUUCCUGCACACCCCUAGUCAGCUCCAGGCGUCCCUUCUCACUCGCUACUUCAAGACCUUGGGCUUCCUUCCAGCACAGAAUUUGUCAAACUGCUGCAUGUGGUCAUCGGUGCAGAGGCCUUGCGCCUGGCUUUUCCGUCUGGGAGAUGGUGUGCAGAGAUGGCGCUGCCCUCAGCACUCCUGUUUGAGCUGGAUCGCGGGGAGCCACACAGCCGGGCCUUGGAGGAGGCUACUCAGAGGGCCCUCAGGACGCCUUCCCCACCGCUCCAUCCGAAGCUGCUCUUCCAGCAUCCCGUCUGCUCACUCUGCUUCGUUUGGCUUCCGCCGCUGCUAGGAGCUGACAGUGUUAGAGUCCUACGUUGAGUCGUUCCUUGUCUGUCCUCCAUGGAGGCAGAGACUUCAUUUCUAUACCCAUAUCCUCACUACCCAGAAAACAAACAGACGGGUGAAUAAACGAACACAGGCAUGGCCUCAUGUAAUGCUUGCAAAUGCAUAAGCGUAUCGCCACGUCCUGGGGAAGAAAAUUAUGACCUCGUGAGGAAC